GGAGGCGUCGGAUAGUGGUUUAUUCCAACGGUUUCGAAAACCGUCAUGCCGCAAGGCAUCGUGAGUUCGAAUCUCACCGCCUCCG
rnacentral:tRNA from 1 species